UAUUGUAUACAACACAAGUUGUUACAGCAGUGCUACUAUUAACAUUUUUUUUUUUUUAAACUGCAGAUUUAACAUGCAUGCAUUUUUUGUAUUUUGUGUAUUUGUUUCUUUUUUAUGUACAGAUCAGGAUAAUGAAGCGGGUGAAAAGGAGCAAACGUUUGCCCGGACAUUUCUAUCGCAUUCACAAGUUAGCAUGUUGUCAGAACUGAGCGUAGAAGUGCAAAAGAAAAUGGAAGACAUCAUCCAGUUUAAAAACCAUCAGACGUAAUUAAAAGAGACAGCUUUAUUGGAUUGCUAUGUCUCUGGGUUUUGGUGGGCCAAAGAAAUGAACUUUACAAGCCAGCAGAUAUCAGGUUUCAUGACCGUCUUACACAUCCUGUUGCAGAAUGCCA